UUUCCGUAGGUGAACCUGCGGAAGGAUCAUUAUUGAAUAAACAGGCGUGGUUGUAGCUGGUCCUCGGGCCUGUGCACGCCCGUCUACUUUAUAUCUCCACCUGUGCACCCUUUGUAGACCUGGACGAUAACUUUCCGAGGCAAACUCGGUCGAGAGGACUGCUGCCUUUCACGAGUCGGCUUUCCUUGUAUUAUCCAGGUUUAUGUUAUUCACAUAUCCCAAAGAAUGUAACAGAAUGUAUCUUAUGGCCUUGUGCCUAUAGACUAGAUACAACUUUCAGCAACGGAUCUCUUGGCUCUG
rnacentral:misc_RNA from 1 species